AAUCAAAGAACUCUUUUCCCUUCUAAUAUAUAUUACCAUUAUCUCAUCUUGUGUUCAUUACUAUUAUGGAUAUUGUUCCAUAUAAAAUAAAUAAUAGAGCAUUAAAUUAUGUAUAAAAACAUAACCUACUUUACUUAUUACUAAUUAGUUUUAACCAACCUAUAAAGUCAAGUACAUUUAUCUUAACUAGAGUGUGCUAUUAUUUUCAAUUCAAUUCAAGUGCAUAAUUUGAAUCUUUAUUAUAUAUGUACAUAAUUGAUAAUCCCAUCAUCACACUAUUGCGUGUUGCGUGAAAUUUGGAGUGUUAUAUUGUAUAUAGUCAAGUCCUUGGACUUUUUGAUUAGUCAACAAAAACAUUAAAAAGGCUUUUACAAUUACAAUACAUAAAAUACAAGUCGAAAUUCGAUACGCGAUCUUCUUAUUCAUUUGAAAACUUACUAUAUUACGGCUCAAUUUGAACCAUAAUUAUAAAAUUUCAAACGUAAUAAAAAAAGAUUUGAAACAGGUUUGGUUGAGUUUGUGCCAUUUAUGUUGGAUUUAGCAAAUUUUGUUAUUAUUUAUAGUACCCCCAAACCCAAAUAACUACUUUCUCCCACUCUCGUGUCCAAUUCUGGGUCAGUAAGCCGCCAAGCCAGUCAAAUAAACAAGCCUAAUAAAUCAUCGUGUCAACCACGCGUAUCUUUUCUUACCUUAGAACCCACUCUCUCUCUCUCUCUCACUUUCUCUUUCAUUUUCUCGCGUCUUCACUUUCCGGGAAAAUUCUCUUCCCCCUGUCCCCCAUAUAAAUACAGAAGACUACUUCCAAAUUCACCAUUCUAAUUAUUCAUCUCUCUCCAGUUUUCAGCUAUAGAUUUUUGGGUUCCUCUCCUUUUUCAAUCAUACCCACCUCUAUUCUUUUUUUUAAUCCGGAAUUAUCUUAUUUGAUUCGGCAAUGACUUCGGCGAAAUCAUUUGCUCUUCCAAUUAUUGGGUUGUUUUUGUUGGUUCUGAUGAAGCUGAGUUAUGGGCAGAGCACAACAGCUCCUUCCCCCUCAGCAGAGGGUCCAUCCAGCGAUGGGCAAGCUAUUGAUCAAGGAAUUGCUUAUGUUCUUUUAGCACUGGCUCUGGCAAUCACAUACUUAAUACACUGAGUUUUGGUUUAAAUUCUAUAAUUACAUGAAUAUAUAUAUUGUAUAUUGAUUCAUAUUCUUUUAUAUAUAUUUACAUAUAUUUUGUCUCCUUUUAGUUAGUUUGGAGAGGAAUUUAACUUUCGUGAUAUGUAAGCGCAAAUUGAGACUUAAUAAAACAAAGUAUUUAUUCUUUUA